GACGGAGGAUGCAAGUGUUAUCCGGAAUCACUGGGCGUAAAGCGUCUGUAGGUGGUCAAAUAAGCCAACUGUUAAAUCUUGAGGCUCAACCUCGAAAUCGCAGUCGAAACUAUUAGACUAGAGUAUAGUAGGGGUAAAGGGAAUUUCCAGUGGAGCGGUGAAAUGCGUAGAGAUUGGAAAGAACACCGAUGGCGAAGGCACUUUACUGGGCUAUUACUAACACUCAGAGACGAAAGCUAGGGUAGCAAAUGGG
rnacentral:rRNA from 1 species